AGUGAACGCUGGCGGUAGGCCUAACACAUGCAAGUCGAACGGCAGCACAGUAAGAGCUUGCUCUUACGGGUGGCGAGUGGCGGACGGGUGAGGAAUACAUCGGAAUCUACUUUUUCGUGGGGGAUAACGUAGGGAAACUUACGCUAAUACCGCAUACGACCUACGGGUGAAAGCAGGGGAUCUUCGGACCUUGCGCGAUUGAAUGAGCCGAUGUCGGAUUAGUUGGUUGGGGGGGUAAAUGCCCACCAAGUCGACGAUCCGUAGCUGGUCUGAGAGGAUGAUCGCCCACACUGGAACUGAGACACGGACCAGGCUCCUACGGGACGCAGCAGUGUGGAAUGUUGGACAAUGGGCGCAAGCCUGAUCCAGCCAUACCACGUGGGUGAAGAAGGCCUUCGGGUUGUAAAGCCCUUUUGUUGGGAGAGAAAAGCAGCAGGUUAAUACCCCGCUGUUCUGACGGUACCCAAAGAAUAAGCACCGGCUAACUUCGUG
rnacentral:rRNA from 1 species